CCUACGGGAGACUGCAGUGAGGAAUAUUGGUCAAUGGACGAGAGUCUGAACCAGCCAAGUAGCGUGAAGGAUGACUGCCCUAUGGGUUGUAAACUUCUUUUAUAUGGAAAUAAAAUGUUCCACGUGUGGGAUUUUGUAUGUACCAUAUGAAUAAGGAUCGGCUAACUCCGUGCCAGCAGCCGCGGUAAUACGGAGGAUCCGAGCGUUAUCCGGAUUUAUUGGGUUUAAAGGGAGCGUAGGUGGAUUGUUAAGUCAGUUGUGAAAGUUUGGGGCUCAACCGUAAAAUUGCAGUUGAAACUGCAGUCUUGAGUACAGUAGAGGUGGGCGGAAUUCGUGGUGUAGCGGUGAAAUGCUUAGAUAUCACGAAGAACUCCGAUUGCGAAGGCAGUUCACUGGACUGCAACUGACACUGAGGCUCGAAAGUGUGGGUAUCAAACAGGAUUAGAUACCCCGGUAGUC
rnacentral:rRNA from 1 species